AGUGUAUAAGAGGUCAGGCUGGGCCUAAUAUAGAGUAUAAGAGGACAGGCUGGGCCUAAUAUAGUGUAUAAGAGGUCAGGCUGGGCCGAAUAUAGUGUAUAAGAGGUCAUACUGGGCCUAAUAUAGUGUAUAAGAGGUCAGGCUGGGCCUAAUAUAGAGUAUAAGAGGUCAGGCUGGGCCUAAUAUAGUGUAUAAGAGGUCAGGCUGGGCCUAAUAUAGUGUAUAAGAGGUCAGGCUGGGCCUAAUAUAGUGUAUAAGAGGUCAGGCUGGGCCUAAUAUAGUGUAUAAGAGGUCAGGCUGGGCCUAAUAUAGUGUAUAAGAGGUCAGGCUGGGCCUAAUAUAGUGUAUAAGAGGUCAGGCUGGGCCUAAUAUAGUGUAUAAGAGGUCAGGCUGGGCCUAAUAUAGUGUAUAAGAGGUCAGGCUGGGCCUAAUAUAGUGUAUAAGAGGUCAGGCUGGGCCUAAUAUAGUGUAUAAGAGGUCAGGCUGGGCCUAAUAUAGAGUAUAAGAGGACAGGCUGGGCCUAAUAUAGUGUAUAAGAGGUCAGGCUGGGCCGAAUAUAGUGUAUAAGAGGUCAUACUGGGCCUAAUAUAGUGUAUAAGAGGUCAGGCUGGGCCUAAUAUAGAGUAUAAGAGGACAGGCUGGGCCUAAUAUAGUGUAUAAGAGGACAGGCUGGGCCUAAUAUAGUGUAUAAGAGGACAGGCUGGGCCUAAUAUAGUGUAUAAGAGGACAGGCUGGGCCUAAUAUAGUGUAUAAGAGGUCAGGCUGGACCUAAUAUAGGGUUCAAGAGGUCAUACAAGAAGUUUUGUAGUGAUUCAUAUGUUGAUGAUGUAAAAAUUAUUUCCUGGUCUGUGGUGAGUAAUGAGGAGCAACCAGACACUGCUGGUCUGUGGUGUGUAAUGAGGAGCAACCAGACGCUGCUGGUCUGUGGUGUGUAAUGAGGAGCAACCAGACGCUGCUGGUCUGUGGUGUGUAAUGAGGACCAACCAGACGCUGCUGGUCUGUGGUGUGUAAUGAGGAGCAACCAGACGCUGCUGGUCUGUGGUGUGUAAUGAGGAGCAACCAGACGCUGCUGGUCUGUGGUGUGUAAUGAGGAGCAACCAGACGCUGCUGGUCUGUGGUGUGUAAUGAGGAGCAACCAGACGCUGCUGGUCUGUGGUGUGUAAUGAGGAGCAACCAGAUGCUGCUGGUCUGUGGUGUGUAAUGAGGAGCAACCAGACGCUGCUGGUCUGUGGUGUGUAAUGAGGAGCAACCAGACGCUGCUGGUCUGUGGUGUGUAAUGAGGAGCAACCAGACGCUGCUGGUCUGUGGUGUGUAAUGAGGAGCAACCAGACGCUGCUGGUCUGUGGUGUGUAAUGAGGAGCAACCAGACGCUGCUGGUCUGUGGUGUGUAAUGAGGAGCAACCAGAUGCUGCUGGUCUGUGGUGUGUA